UACGUAGGGUGCAGGCGUUAAUCGGAAUUACUGGGCGUAAAGUGUGCGCAGGCGGCAGAGCAAGUCGAGUGUGAAAGCCCCGGGCUUAACUUGGGAAUUGCGCUCGAAACUACUUUGCUGGAGUGUGGCAGAGGAAGGUGGAAUUCCACGUGUAGCGGUGAAAUUCGUAGAUAUUCGGAGGAACACCAGUGGCGAAGGCGGCUCACUGGUCCGGUACUGACGCUGAGGUGCGAAAGCGUGGGGAGCAAACAGG
rnacentral:rRNA from 1 species